GAAGUCUGGUGCCAGCAGCCGCGGUAAUUCCAGCUCCAAUAGCGUAUAUUAAAGUUGUUGCAGUUAAAAAGCUCGUAGUUGAAUUUCGGGACUAAUAUGUCGGUCGUACUUUGUACGUACUAGCAUUAUUGGUUUCUCCCUUCUGACGAACCACGAUGUCAUUAAUUUGGUGUCAUGGGAAAUCAGGACUGUACUUGAAAAAAUUAGAGUGUUUAAAGCAAGCUCGCGCUUGAAUACAUUAGCAUGGAAUAAUGAAAUAGGACGUUUGAUUCUAAUUUUGUUGGUUUCUAGGAUCGACGUAAUGAUUAAUAGGGAUAGUUGGGGGCAUUAGUAUUCAAUUGUCAGAGGUGAAAUUCUUGGAUUUAUUGAAGACUAACUACUGCGAAAGCAUUUGCCAAGGAUGUUUUCAUUAAUCAAGAACGAAAGUUAGGGGAUCGAAGACGAUCAGAUACCGUCGUAGUCUUAACCAUAAACUAUGCCGACUAGGGAUCGGAUGAUGUUAAUUUUUUAAUGACUCAUUCGGCGCCUUACG
rnacentral:rRNA from 1 species